rnacentral:rRNA from 1 species
CACGUAGGGUGCGAGCGUUGUCCGGAAUUAUUGGGCGUAAAGAGCUCGUAGGCGGUGUGUCGCGUCGGCCGUGAAAACCUGCAGCUUAACUGUGGGCUUGCGGUCGAUACGGGCAGACUAGAGUUCGGCAGGGGAGACUGGAAUUCCUGGUGUAGCGGUGAAAUGCGCAGAUAUCAGGAGGAACACCGGUGGCGAAGGCGGGUCUCUGGGCCGAUACUGACGCUGAGGAGCGAAGCGUGGGAGCAAACAGG